rnacentral:rRNA from 1 species
UACGAAGGGGCUAGCGUUGUUCGGAUUUUACUGGGCGUAAAGCGCACGUAGGCGGAUCUUUAAGUCAGAGGUGAAAUCCCAAAGGCUCAACCUUGGAACUGCCUUUGAUACUGGGGAUCUUGAGUCGGGAGAGGUGAGUGGAACUGCGAGUGUAGAGGUGAAAAUUCGUAGAUAUUCGCAAAGAACACCAGUGGCGAAGGCGGCUCACUG